CGCGCUUCCGCGCUCCGCCUCGCAGCAGCCCCCGAGGUCGCCGUCUGCCCCCGCCCCGCCACUCAGCCAGCGCCCGCAGGAGCAAGGCGGCGCGCAGGAAGCCGGCACAGGGGACCAGGGACCCUGCCUACCUCUCCGCGAUGUAAAGGGUGCCGGUGCCGAGGCCCUUGCCGUUCAGCACAGCCUCGGUCUCCGGCUGCUGCUGCCGGAGCCCCUCAGCCGAGCCGGGCGGCGGGAAACUUUUGAGAAAGCUCAUAGCAGCGCCGAGCGCGGGGACACAGGCCGGUAGCGAAGCGAAGCACGGCCACUGCAGCCACACGCCUCGCCCCGCCCCGGAAGUGGUGGCGAUCACGCCGGAAGAGCAACUUAGUCCGCACCAGAAUUCGAGCCCCAUCCACCCGACGGAGAGACGUUCUGAGAUUGGAAAGAAACCAAGUUCUGCCCCAAUCCACCCCGUCCAUCCCAGCACGGGACAGUCCCUUUGAAGGUGCACGAACCUCCUAACAGGAUUGGGCAAGCUGCAAUUCAGACACCAUUAUCAAGAAGCAACUUUGCUAAGAGAACAAAACACCAGACCCACACUGAGAAUACCCUAGCAUUGAAGUCCAUGGUUCUUUGGCAGGUCAUAUUAAAAAGAAAAAAAGACUAUCAGUACACGUGAAUUUAUUCUAAAUGAAACUCAUCUUUAUUCCCUGCAUCUGCAACCUUGACCAACUGGAAAGCGAGGAGUCAAGGACACCCGACCUCAUUGUAUCAGAGUCUCUACUAUUCUCCUCAGACUCUUCCUCUUCGUCAUCGUCAGAGUACUUUUUCUUUGGGGUCUUUCUCCGCAAACGCCUGCUUUGCCUCAUUGGCCGGGAAGGAUGUCGCCUCAGUCUUCGGCUACAGAAAUCAGUGUCGCUGUCAUCAUUAGAUGGUGGGUCUUCUUCACUCUCAUCUGGGUUUUCAUCAGAUACAACAAACUCGUCUUGAGAUCUGUUCAAGAGAAACCAGAUACAUUAAGACUCGGAGUUCAAAUUCUACCAAGUGCAGUGAAACAUUAAAUAAUGGUUAAUGUAAAAUACCUGGAUAAUUAUAUCAACCUGUCUGUUAAUAAAAUGGAGAAAGGAUUUGCAA